rnacentral:lncRNA from 1 species
UAGUUCACAGUGUAAGCACUACAACAUAUUUCAUCACUAAAGUUACCCUCUGUCAUUUAUUCUUUCUUUUUGAAAGAUGCGUUGCCCUUCCUUGCCUAGGCCCCUCUAAUUUUCGUAUAUCUUAUCCUAUAUUCCUAUUUAACUGGAAGCCGAUGCUAUGUCUGUUCGGUCAGCCUGUACAUGUAUGUUUAUGGUUCCAAGAAUGGACUGGAAUUUGAAUCUUUGCUUUUCUUUUGGGGGCUCCCCAUCAAGUUUUAACUACUAUUUGGAGGUUUUGAAAGGAAAAUUACUGCAAUGUCAAAACUUAUUUAAGAAGUCUGAGGUUUCAUUAGUAGUCAACCUUUGGCAUUUCCGUUACUGUUUAUGCGAUUAAUUACAUUUGUGGAAUAUUACUUGUCCGACUGAUCCCUAACUUUCAUGCCCAUCUGCAGAAGCCAGGAGCGUAGUAGCAGAGAGUAGUCCAAGUAGCAAAGUACUGGAGAACACACCAGAGGGAUAGCAGUCUGCAUACUUUGAACUCUUUAAUAUAUAGACAUGAAGCACCAGUUGUUGAAAGUUAAGUGUUCCUUAGUGUUAGCUUAAACUUCAUACAGUGAGCUUGAUGUUUUUUAGUUUAUGUUCUGAGUGGUAAUCUUUUGUGAAUUAUAAAGUAAAACCUGGGUUUAGGU